CACGCUGCAGGGAGGGAAAGCCCAGUCAGGUUCCGGCAGACUCCCUGAGCUGAGGAGACGGAACUGAGAAUCCAGGAAGACUAAGGCAGCAACCCCGUCAGAGGAAAGAGUUCUGAGAAGGCUCAGAGGUGGUAGCUGCUUCUUGCAGUUGCAAAAUUCAUACUACGUCAGUGUUUUCUGUUUACCUUUCCAGUUCAUUUAAACAGAGUCCGCCAUUCUUUAUGUAUCAGACUUUCUGUUAAAAUAACUGGUUCCUGCCUCCUGGCCAGCUCCAACUGGUACAGCAUAGAAAAUAACAGAGAAAAAUCCUUUCAAGUAUGUAUGUUGAUAAUAUCACAGAAUGAAGAUGUGAGAGGAAUCUUAAAGGUCAUUUGGUCUGGAGGUCAACAAACUAAGGCCUGUAGAUGAAUUCUGGCCUCCUAUUUUUGUAAAUAAAGUUUCACUGGAACACA